ACAUUGGUGGUUCAGUGUUAGAACUCUUGCUUUCCUUGCAGGAGAGCCAGGUUUGAUUCCCAGCCAAUGCG
rnacentral:tRNA from 1 species